rnacentral:rRNA from 1 species
CCUACGGGCGGCAGCAGUAGGGAAUAUUGCGCAAUGGGCGAAAGCCUGACGCAGCAACGCCGCGUGCUCGAGACGCCCCUUGGGGUUUAAAGAUCGGUUAGUUGGGGCGAAACUUGACGGUACCCAUAGAGGAAGCACCGGCCAACACCGUGCCAGCAGCCGCGGUAAUACGGCGGGUGCAAGCGUUGUCCGGAAUCAUUGGGCGUAAAGAGUUCUUAGGCGGCACGUAAAGUCUGGUGUUAAAGGCCGAGGCUAAACUAUGGCACGGCACCGGAUACUGGCGAGCUAGAGUGCGGUAGAGGUAAGGGGAAUUCCUGGUGUAGCGGUGAAAUGCUUAGAGAUCAGGAGGAACACCGGUGGCGAAAGC